AUUGAACGCUGGCGGCAGGCCUAACACAUGCAAGUCGAGCGGAUGAAGGGAGCUUGCUCCUGGAUCCAGCGGCGGACGGGUGAGUAAUGCCUAGGAAUCUGCCUGGUAGUGGGGGAUAACGUCCGGAAACGGGCGCUAAUACCGCAUACGUCCUGAGGGAGAAAGUGGGGGAUCUUCGGACCUCACGCUAUCAGAUGAGCCUAGGUCGGAUUAGCUAGUUGGUGGGGUAAAGGCCUACCAAGGCGACGAUCCGUAACUGGUCUGAGAGGAUGAUCAGUCACACUGGAACUGAGACACGGUCCAGACUCCUACGGGAGGCAGCAGUGGGGAAUAUUGGACAAUGGGCGAAAGCCUGAUCCAGCCAUGCCGCGUGUGUGAAGAAGGUCUUCGGAUUGUAAAGCACUUUAAGUUGGGAGGAAGGGCAGUAAGUUAAUACCUUGCUGUUUUGACGUUACCAACAGAAUAAGCACAGGCUAACUUCGUG
rnacentral:rRNA from 1 species